rnacentral:rRNA from 1 species
CUACGGGUUGCUCCAGUGAGGAAUAUUGCACAAUGGGGGGAACCCUGACGCAGCAACGCUGCGUGAGUGAUGAAGGCUUUCGGGUCGUAAAGCUCUGUCAAGUGGGAAGAACCUAUGCAGUGUUAAUAUCACUGUAUACUGACGGUACCACUGAAGGAAGCACCGGCUAACUCCGUGCCAGCAGCCGCGGUAAUACGGGGGGUGCAAGCGUUAUUCGGAAUCAUUGGGCGUAAAGGGCACGUAGGCGGCUUGGUAAGUCAGAUGUGAAAGCCCGGGGCUUAACCCCGGAAGUGCAUUUGAUACUGUCAGGCUUGAGUAUGGGAGAGGGAAGUGGAAUUCCUGGUGUAGAGGUGAAAUUCGUAGAUAUCAGGAGGAACACCGGUGGCGAAGGCGACUUCCUGGACCAAUACUGACGCUGAGGUGCGAAGGCGUGGGUAGCAAACAGGAUUAGAUACCCUCGUAGUC